UCGAGAAUAUUUAGCAAUGGACGAAAGUCUGACUAUGCGACGCCGCGUGCAGGAUGAAGGUCUUCGGAUUGUAAACUGCUUUUAUUAGGGGAGAAACCUGUAUGGUUAAUAGCCAUACAGCUGACGGUACCUGAUGAAUAAGCCACGGCAAACUCUGUGCCAGCAGCCGCGGUAAUACAGAGGUGGCAAGCGUUACUCGGAAUUAUUGGGUGUAAAGGGCAGGUAGGUGGUCUGAUAAGUGAGGGGUGAAAUCCUGCGGUUCAAUCGCAGAACAGCCUUUCAAACUGCCAGACUUGAGAGAAACAGAGGAAGAUGGAAUUCCCGGUGUAAGGGUGAAAUCUGUAGAUAUCGGGAAGAACACCAACGGCGAAGGCAAUCUUCUGGGUUUCUUCUGACACUGAGCUGCGAAAGCUAGGGGAGCAAACAGA
rnacentral:rRNA from 1 species